UCGGUUACGAUUAUCAUGCUAUACAAAUAUUGUUCAUUAUUAACUACAAAUUAAAUCUUAUUAUAACGUUUGACCCAUUUAUUUGCUGUCUUGAAUGUGUCAGUCUCUCAGUGACUACAUGUGAUUACGUCUUAUUUGAAGCUCACUUUUGGUGUCACACAACAGAGUCCCCCUAAAUGAGAAGCUCAUCCUCCCGAGCUCCUGUCAUCCAAUGGGAAUGGAGGAGUGGUGGUGCGGGGAUUGGACCAGGUGGGAGCUUCAAAGUUCUUCUCGUAAUCCAGGGAAAAGCUGAAGAGUUGCCCCCGAGACGUGAAGAACAUCUCUCCAGACACGGUCAGAUCUUCAUGCAAAAUAAAAACCUCAAUGUCACCGCUGGGCCUUAUAUUUUUUAUCACUCACACACACAAAAUAAAUCCCUUUGUAAUAUUUUGUCUCUGUCAUUGUUUAACAUAUAAACUCCUUAUUGUGCUUCAUUGAAUUGAACUCAACGUUUUUCUUUCACACCACCGUCGGUCUUCAAUCUCCGUCAAUGUCGAUCUCUCCUGUUGUUUAAGAGCUCUGGCCAAAGUUUUCUCCCGCUAAACAAU
rnacentral:lncRNA from 1 species